rnacentral:pre_miRNA from 1 species
AAGGUACUCCCUCCGUCCCAAAAUUCUUGUCUUAAAUUUGUCUAAAUACGGAUGUAUCAAGUCACGUUUUAGUAUUAGGUACAUCCGUAUCUAGACAAAUUUAAGACAAGAAUUUUGGGACGAAGGGAGUACUAA